rnacentral:rRNA from 1 species
AUUCCAGCUCCAAUAGCGUAUAUUUAAGUUGUUGCGGUUAAAAAGCUCGUAGUUGGAUUUCGGGCGUGGAGGUUCGGUCCGCCGUUCCGGUGUGCACUGUCUUUCUGCGUCUUUCUGUCGGGGACGCGCUUCUGGCCUUAAUUGGCUGGGACGUGGAUUCGACGAGGUUACUUUGAAAAAAUUAGAGUGUUCAAAGCAAGCUAAAGCUCUGAAUACAUUAGCAUGGAAUAACGCGAGAGGACUCGGUCCUUAUUUCGUUGGUCUUCAAGGAUGGAGUAAUGAUUAAGAGGGACAGUUGGGGGCAUUCGUAUUUCAUUGCUAGAGGUGAAAUUCUUGGAUUUAUGAAAGACGAACUUCUGCGAAAGCAUUUGUCAAAGAUGUUUUCAUUA